rnacentral:lncRNA from 1 species
UUUUUAACUUGUUUAUGUGUCGCUAGCAAUUAUGAGUUGUUUUAUCAUCAGUCAGCACAUUUAAAAAUAAAAAAUUUAUGUUUUCAAACAUAUAUUUCCACGAAAACUUACGAACUUUCAACGACAUUUAGCUACUUUGGUUUCUGCACCGUAAAGGAGCGAAAAAAUAUUUAAUGUUCUGUUUCGAAUGCGAUUGUUAUGCAAGAUUUUAACAAGAAAAAUAUUUGCAAUUGAUUGAUAAUGCAUAAAUAUUUACUAUAAUUAUGUAAAAAAUAUAUAUGCUCUCAAUUUAUGACGAAAAAUACAUAUAUUUACUGUAUAGAAAUAUUCAUAUCGAUUUUUGUGUUAUAUUUUUAGCCGGAACUUCUAUUUACGUAGAGAAAUGGUUACUCAUAAAUCGUAGAGAGAGAGAUAUGAUGAAAGACGAUACGAAUAACGCCAUUUUUUUAAUAAAAAUCGUUAUCGACAAUUUAAAAUGUGGAGGGAAAAAAAUAUGUUCUGAAACAUUAAUUGGGUUAAAAGCAAUUAUAAUAAAAUAGUUCAAGGUACAAGUAAUAAUAAAUAAUUAUAGUGGAAGAGGAGUGUUUGUUAGAUUAAUAGAAAAUCGUUCGUGUUUGUUGUCGCUAAUUUUUAUUUUUAUUUUAAUUUUUUUUUGUGUUAAAAAUAGCAUCCGGUCGCUGAAUUUCUGAUCAAUCAAUGCUGCGUGAUCGAUACGCAUUACGUAAAUGUUUACAAAUCAUCUGCAUUUUCCAUUCAUCGAAGCGGAGAUUUUUUUUCUUUCAUGUUGUGAUUUAACGCACGUAAGCUGUUUUAAAAAAUAAAAGAUGUCGUUAUAUUAUUUUCUAAAUCGAUAGUAGCUUCAAACCAGACAUAAAAAAAAGAAGUAAAGAUACCUCUUACUGAAAAUAUCUAACUUUACUGAUUGAGGAUUAAAUAUAACUCGACUAUAAUUCGUUCUAUAUAAAGCUUGAUUGAUACUGUAUCAAAAAUGAUCGAAUUUA